rnacentral:tRNA from 1 species
CAAGAUAGAGCUUGAUUAAUUAAGCAUUUCAUUUACACUGAAAAGUCACCGUGUAAUUCGGUUUAUUUUGA